CUCGCCGUGAGUCGACGAAGGGAGCGCGGGCGCGCGCCCGCGUCCGCGCACUGAGAGUCGCCUCGGCCGCUCGCUUUCUCGACUCCCGCCUCGCGCCUCGAUCCUGUUCCGCCUCCCUCGGCCCUCCUGCCCGCCCCCACUCGUCGGCCCUCAGCUCAGAGACCUAAUAGGAUGGGGUCUUAGAGAAACAUCUUUUGAGCCACAGACUUCUUUGUUACCAGAAGGAAAAUGAAAGAAGAAAUUUAAAUACCACUUGAAGAGAGGUGCUGCCCAGUUCAUGAGUGCUGCUGCUGUCCUGCCCAAGUACCCAGCUUGCAGAGUGCCAGAGUUAGAGUCCCAGGGGUGUUCUCCACAGCUGCAUGCUUGAUCCAGGCCUAUCAGCAUUGUCUUUGAAUAUUAGCAAAUAAUGGAACAUGGGCCAAGGGUGAACCAUGACGAAUUUGUGUUCCAGCAGCCCUGCUUCUUUAGAAUUGACAGUCUGGCUUCGUGGUUAAUUCACAGCAUCUGAGGAAUACAUCCAAAGAGGGUGAUACUGUGGCAUGAUGGUACCAGGAUUCCAAGUUCAUUCCAGAUCUCAGCUUGAGCACCAACCCUGAAGCCUGCAGCUGGAUCCCAUAAGUAUUUCCACAACACCCUGUACUUUUCCUACAUGCACCCCAGCAUCUUCAUACAAUAGGUGCUUAAUAAAUUGUCCAAUGACUGAAUCCUCACAAUAUCUCUAGAGAAGAUGGCAAGAUGCAGAGAGGAGGAGUCACGCCUGAAGCCACACAGCUGACAUCAGAGCCAAAGCAUGAGCCUCAGUCUCUCUGACCCAGAGCUACCACCCUUGCUGCCUUGGGAAGAAGGAAGCCCCCUCCUAUUCUAUCCUUGAGCUGCCUUGGCAAGGAGGGGCCCCUUGCUGCCGCCAUCCUCACAGGACACCAUCCACAUGAGGGGAUGGUGAGCUCCACUUCCACCUUUUCUACAUGUCUGCUCUUUAAACUGCACACGUUGAUUCAUUCAUUCAUUCAUUCAUUCAUUCCCUUGAUAUUACCAUUCAUUUAUUCAUCAAGUAUUUAUUGAGCAUAUUUAUCUGCAUGGCAUUGUGCUAAUCGUAAUCAUCAUAUUCACCACUGCUGAGCAGAACAGUCAGGGUGCUGCCCUCAGGGAGUUACCAUGUAGUAAAGGAGACAGAUGGAAUCACACAGAGGAAUGCACGUCUGAUUGUAGCCUGACUGGAGUGCCAUGAAGGAGACCAAGAGGGCAGGGUGAUGGAGAAAGCACAGGAUGAAGUUCUCGUCUUCCUUCCAACAGAAUCUCAGUUGCACUCAGUUGUUGCCCCCCUCGAACCUCCCUUGAGCCUCAGGAGAAACCACCCUGAUUCAGAGGUCCAGAGAAGACCUGACUAGCCCAAGGUAAUUCCGUCCCCUUGCCAGAGUGGCUUGGGCAGGGACACGGGACCUAUUUCAAUGAGGCCAAUGAGACAAAGGUAUUUCUGCUGGGGAGGCAGGGGCUUCAAGCAAAGGGUCUUGCUUGAAAGAGCCACCGGAAGAGGGCUCUCUCCUUCCUUAGGGUGUCACCGUGUCUGGAUGCGAUGCCUGGAAGUGCUACAGCCACUCGCGCCCAGCCUGAAGAUGAAACCAACCCCAAACACAGCCAAGCAGAGAGAUGGAAAGAACUAGGACCCUAAUUACACCACUGAGCAGCUAUAGCAACCAGUUCCAGAGCCCUCUGACUUCCCGCCAAAGUGAGAUGAUAAGAUACUGUUUAAUUUCUCUCUUUUAUAGCCAAACACACCAAAAUUGACACAGAGAUGUGAGCCAUACCUACUACUGUUACUGCUCCAUCCCUAGCUCCAACCACAGUGCAUGGUACAUGGUAGAGAGCCAACAAACACUUGAAGAAUGAAUGGUGCAUAUUGAGUGGGAUUUUCCAGAGGCAGACCUGGAGACAAGGCUUCAAGUGCGUGUGUUGUAUUAAGGAAAUGCUCCCAGGGGACAAUAGCAGAGUGGCAGAAAUGGGACAAGGGGGCCAGGGAGCCAAGAACAGAGAAUCAAUCGUCUAAACAGAGCCCCCUGUUUUUUGUUUCACCUGGGAGUAGCUUCUACCUGAUCCCCAGGGGAACUCUGGGAUGUCAGUGACGGCUCAGCAUUGCCCCUGAGGCAAGGGAGCUGGGCUUUCCUAAUCCCCCACUCCUCAGUCUCUGGCUAAGCGCUGUCCCCAGGGGACUUAAUCACCCAAACACUUCCCCAAGAGUGGCAUCUGCUGACCACUGGAGGCACUGGUACAGUGAAGCGACAGAAGGGAUCAGAGAGGGUCCAGGUGGAGCACAGCAAUGUGGCUGAAUAAUAACUAUAUUAAUUCAUAUAGUUAAUUCUCAAGCAAUGGCAAAGUGUAGGCAGCUUCUUGUCUGCAAACGUUUCCAUGAUAUCUCUCCUGCAGCCAGACGGGUCUUUUCCUGCCGCCUACACAGAAUGGCCAUGGAGCAUCCCCA
rnacentral:lncRNA from 1 species